rnacentral:rRNA from 1 species
UACGUAGGGUGCAAGCGUUGUCCGGAAUCACUGGGCGUAAAGGGCGCGUAGGCGGCUCAUGAAGGCUGUGGUGAAAGUCCGGGGCUCAACCUCGGAUCGGCCGUGGCGACUCGUGGGCUGGAGCACUGUAGAGGCGGGUGGAAUUCCGGGUGUAGCGGUGGAAUGCGUAGAGAUCCGGAAGAACACCGGAGGCGAAGGCGGCUGGCUGGACCUGAUCUGACGCUGAGGUGCGAAAGCGUGGGGAGCGAACAGG